rnacentral:rRNA from 1 species
AACGCAGGUGGUUUGGUAAGUCAGGGGUGAAAGUCCACAGCUUAACUGUGGCACUGCCUUUGAUACUACCUUUCUUGAGUGCAUGAGGGGGAAGCGGAAUUCCGAGUGUAGAGGUGAAAUUCGUAGAUAUUCGGAGGAACACCGGUGGCGAAGGCGGCUUCCUGGCAUGUAACUGACACUCAUGUUCGAAAGCGUGGGGAGCAAACAGGAUUAGAUACCCUGGUAGUCCACGCCCUAAACGAUGGGCACUAGGUGUGGGAGGUAUCGACCCCUUCCGUGCCGCAGCUAACGCAUUAAGUGCCCCGCCUGGGGAGUACGGCCGCAAGGUUGAA